GUGAGUCAUCGAAUCUUUGAACGCAUAUUGCGCCCUUUGGUAUUCUGAAGGGCAUGCCUGUCCGAGUGUCAUUAUCAACCAUCAAGCUUGGCUUGCUGUUGGACCCUGUAUAUGCUGGCAGUCAGCAAUAACAGGUCUUCAAGGUAGUGGCGGUGUUGUGGUGGACCCCCAGAUACAACGAGCUCUCUACAGCAUGUAUCAAGGUGGCCCGCCGGUCCAGCCUCACUGGAAUCUCAUAUCUCAAGGUUGACCUCGGAUCAGGUAGGAGUACCCGCUGAACUUAAGCAUAUCAAUAAGCGGAGGA
rnacentral:misc_RNA from 1 species